ACUGCUAUUCAUAGGGCUCUCUUGAAAAAAACUCAAACAUUCUAUUGGAAUCUAACAGGGCUUUAAAACUCUUAAUGUGUCCACUUAGCCAUCAAAUAAUCUUCAACAUCCUAGGCACUGCCAGACUUCCCAAGGUACAUCAGACCAUACUUCAGCAUCUGAACCUCUCACCAUGAGAACAACUACUCAACAACUCUACAAGAAAUUCAUCUCUUUCAACAGUUGGGGCAAAGUUGCUGCCAAUAACUCGCACAGCGUACUGGAACUGCUGGGCUACAUCAGCUGAAAGAUAAAUCUCUUCUAUACUGGCCCACAGUCUUCGCCUUACUGAGAAAAGCUGCUGUUGGAAUAGUCCAUCUCAUUUGCAGCAUGCUUGCAAGACUGUUCCACUCCAGCAUCUGCAAGAGAAAGCAGGAGGCAACAAACUGCAAAAGUCUUCAGAAAGCCUCACCUCAAGCCCACUACCGGCCACGUGGCUCCAGGCAUGCGACUUCUCCCGCUGUCUGCUUCCUCCUUAAAGUAGAAAGAACAUCUUUCCCUUGUAAGAUUUGGAAAGGUUCCAACCAAGUUAAUGGUUAAAAAUACCUGGUGAACUUUUGAAAAUCAUAGCCAUAAAAAAGAAUCUGGAUUGUCUAUUAGUAGAUUUCAGUGUUUGAAUUUUUCAGGAUUGCACAAAAAGACCAACAGAGAGACUCAUUUCAUUACACUGAAUCUAUUUUAAAAUGAAGCCUAAUUCAGCAUUACAUGUGUGUGAAAAUUGUAUUACUUCAUGGAUUAAAAUUUAAUCAAAGAUUAAUUGAGAAGUAACAAAAGGUCUAAAUAUAUAAAAUUAUUUCAAUAGUAGUAAUCCAUGAGCAAAGGUCUAGUCCGCAGAGAUUCAUGACUCAGCAAGCAGAGAUAGUUCGUCUACAUGACACACAAAUCACCCUCUAGAGCAACACUCUCCGCUUGAAAUGUGAGUCACCACGGAGAUCACAUAUAUAAAGUAAACUUUCUACAACCAUGUUUUAUACGUGUAACAUUCAUUAAUUAACUAAUUAAUUAAGAUUGUGUUGCUAUGCAUCUUCCUUUCUGAGAGGGGACAUUCCAGCUUCUGAAGACCUAACUUUUAUUCCAACUCUGGCCACUGAGCAAACACCUCUCAAAUGCUGGUGAGCAUGUUUGAGAUGGCACGUCCUAACCCAGUGGGUGCACCCUAACCCGGAGUCCUUGUACCAGUAAAUUGGUGCUAGCUGGCAUUAGGUCCACUUGACCUGCUAACUUGCCUGAUCUCCUCCUGGCCACAGUAGAGACACAAUUAUGUUAGUCCUUACCUUGACUCGCCUGGAUCUUGUUGCCCUCCAUUCUCACCCAUGGGAUACGACAUGUCCGUACUGAGUUUUUGUUUUUCUAAUUAAAAAGUGAAUUCAUGCCUAUUAAAACUUUGAACCUCGCUGAAAUGUGAGGCAGACCUUAAUUGCAUUGAUAGAGCCCCCAAAACUAAAUUGGCAUUGUAAUUACAGCUCACAGAAGUGGGCCAGACCCUGCAUACUGAACAGAACCAGAGUGACCGCCCGAUAAACAGGAGGUUUGAGUGGGAUCAAGGAAUCUUCUAACAAAAUAUUCCAAAUGCAUGAGAUACAAGUGCAAAUCACUUAUCACAACAGGAAGCAGGAAAAACAUGUGAUUUUUAAAAAGAGAAGAUGAGUUUGUCAUCCAGCUCUUGGACUGCAUCAAAUUGAAUUCAGCCCAAGCAGGUGUUGAGAACAAAGAACUUUGCAUUAUUUGUUUUAAGUAGAGACAGGGAGAUCACUUGCUAAGCACCAUCUCCCACGGGGUUAGCACGGAGGCCUUCACUCAGUGUAUUACGAGGUGGCAGGGGGGAGCUUGUCUACAUACUGGUGCCUACGUUGUUCAAAAAAUGGUGGAGAACCCUACCUGCGGGAGGAGCUCUUAGUAUUAUAGUGAGCCAAAGACAACUUCAGGAUGUCUCGGGGGCUUCUGUGCAGGUCCUCAGUUCCAAUCCUGCUCAGACUGGCUCACAUAGAAGACAGGUAAGACACGGAGCUGGGCGACUCCUUGGCUGGUGCUGUCCAUCCUGCAAAACAAAACACAUUCCUUCUCUCCUUCUCUGCUUUUGUCCUUCCUUCUGCGGAGAGCUUUCAGCCUCCAAUUUGAGCAGCUUCCUGUUGCAUCCUUGCUAACAAACUCACACAAACACCAAAAUAAAUCAGAUAGGAAAAUUGUCCAGCAAGGUUUUUAAAGCAAUGACAAUAAAAAUGCCUCAAGAAACAAUUGUGAACAGUCUAAACAAAUGAAAAAAAUAGAAAAUCUCAACAAGGAAAUAGAAGUUCUAAAAAAGGACCAAGUAGAAAUUGUAAGAUUGAAAAAUACAAUAACAGAAAUGAAAAUAGACUGAAUGAGCUCAAUAGUGGGACAGUGGCAGUGAAUUUGAGGACAGAUCAAUAGCAUUUACCCAAUCUGAGUGACAGAGGGAAAAGUGCUGAAGAAGAUGAACAGAGCCUCGAGGUCUAUGGACAAUGACAAAUCUCGGACAUUCUUCUUGUCUGUGUCCCAUAGGGCAGAAUAAAGAGCAUGAGGGCUAAACACUUAGAACUGAAAACCACCCACAUUUGGCCAAAGAAAUCAACCUACAGGUUCAAGGAGCUAAGUGAACACCAAUCAGGAUAAACUUAAAAAAAAAUUCCAUACCAAGCCACAUAAAAAUAAAACCUCUUAAGACAAAGACAAAGGAGAAAUGAUGCAUAACCUAUUAAAAAAGCCAACACAGAGCAGCAAUCAAUGUCUUGUCCAAAACCAUGGAGGCUUAGAGGAAGGAAGAGCCGAGAGAGAGCAAUCCGUCAACCACAAACAGUUGAAGAGAAAACCACAGGCCCAAAUGGCGCCACUUAGGCCAAGUCCUGAAGUCAGGACUUAAUACCUGAUGUGACCACACUUCCAACUCCACCCAGAAUGUAGUGUUGGUCAGGAAUUCUCGGAUGGGUGCCAGCGAAUCUGCAUGUGGCCUCUCCAUCCUCUGAGGAAGAGGAGGUAGCCUGCACUACAAGACCCCUUGUCUUUCCCCCUAGAAAGAGACUGUCCCAGGAAUAAGCCUUCUCUUUUGCUAGUAACUUUCUCUCCUCGUCUCCUUUUAUAAAGACCUUCCAUUUGUACAAGUUCCCAGAGCUCCCCUCUACUUGCUAGAUAGAAUGCUGCCCUGUUCAUGAGACAUUUAAUAAAGCCAAUUAGAUCUUCAGAUUUCCUUGAUUGUUUGUCAUUUAACACCUUCCACCUGGCAAAACUAUCCUUUGAGAAUGAAGGGGAAAUGAAAACCUUCUCAAACAAAGAAAAACCCAGGGAGUUUAUCCACAGCAGACCCAGCUCAAGGGACGGCUGAAGGAAACUCUGCAAAUGGAAAGAAAAUGACAAAAGAAGACUGGGAAUUUCAGUAUGAAAAGCAGAACAGUAAUAGUAAUAGUGGUGAUAGGACUAAAUAUAAUAAACCGUCCUUUAUUUUGUAAAUGUCUUAAAUAAUAUUUAAUGGCUAAAGCUAAAAUCAUCACACCACCUGAUGUGGUAUCCAACAUAUGCAAGAGCAGGACCUA